rnacentral:tRNA from 1 species
GGCGGGGUAGCUCAGCUGGUUAGAGCGCACGGCUCAUACCCGUGUUGUCGACGGUUCGAUCCCGUCCCCCGCUACCA